ensembl:lncRNA
GUGCCGUCGUGACGUCACGCGGUCUGUGCCGUGACCCGCCUGGAUCCGCUGCAGCGAAGAGGCGACGCGCCGGAAAGCUACAGGAUAGCAGGAGACGAGCUGCCAUCAAAACACAACUUCGGGACCGCGGUCCGCGUCCCCUCUGUCCGCAGAUCGUACCGGGGGAAGGUGAUACGUGCCUGCUGAGGAGGUUUUAAGGGACGGAGGACGUGCAAACACUUGUUUUAUGCGAGCAAAGACAGCAUUUGGCCUUGACAGCUCGGCUAACGUUAGGCCGCGGUAGCGUUAGCCGCGAGCUCUUCUAUUGACGAGCAAAGCAAAACAAGGAAUGAGUGAUGACCUCUGUGGUGGUGUCAGAUGGUGGAGGGAACAUAGUGGAGUAUGUCACCGUGGUGGAGGAGCUCCAGCAGGUAAGCCUCCUUUCAGCGCACACAGCCCGGUGUGGUGACCAAAGGUCCGCACGUGGUUUUGUUGUUUGUACUCAUCCAGGUGAUAAUGCAUAACAACACGUGACAGCAUUCUAAAUAGGAAAUGGGCAACUGCUGAAUGGAAAAUGGCAAACAAAUGAAUGAGAGUACCUUUAAGACAAGUGUUUUUUAGGUGUAAAGUUUAUAUUAUUGGUUAUUUUUAUUUUAUAGAAGCGAUGAUUAUAGUGGCAAAGGAGUUGUUGCUUUAAUUUGUUAUUAUGAAAGACAUUUCGUUUGUGCAAUAUAAUGGUCAUAUAGUCAUGAAACCAUGGGCCUUUUCUCGCUCUUACAAUAUGACUCUUAACAAAUACAGAUUAUGGCUGUUUGUAGUGCAAUAGCAGCUAGAAACACACCAGAGGUUUGUCUUCUGUUCGAUAAAAACAAUCAAGGAACUUGUUGUCCUGCAGUGGCUUUUGUAUAUUGUUCCAUUUUGAUAUUAAACUUCAAUAGCAAGACAUUGACACACAUGUGCAGUAUUUAUUUUGUAUAUACAAUUGGGACAGCAUCAGUGCAAUACAAUAAUCAUCCUAGUACUGCUGUUGAUUAAAAGUGAUAAUCAUUUUCCCAAAUGCCGCGUCCAAAUGAGAGGGUUCAAGCCAUUAGUUUUACUUGUUUGAACAAUUUUUCCCUCAUAUAAUACAGUACAUUCUGGUGAAACAAAUGCCCCUCUGUAAGACGGAUUGAAUUUCUAUAAACAGCCUAGUAGGACUUUAGUCUUUUUCUCCAUGAGGGCAAUUACACACACUAACCCCACAGGACAGAAAGGAUCCCUUAUUCAAAUUCAGUAGUCACUCCAAGCCAAGAGGGUGACCCACACACAACGUUUAAGGGCAAACCCAUAGGCCGACAUUUGUAGCGGUUUGGUCCGAGAAAAGCUCCUGGUGGACACGGACGGUGUUACUGAGACACACAGACUUUACCUGACCUCAUUAAAAGAAAUCUCCCUUUUCUCCCAUCUUCCCAUCGGCUAGUGUGAGCAGCCGCACACUGAGGAGGAGGAGGAGGAAGAGGAAGUGGUAGAGCAGGAAAUUGAGGCAGUGAUCGUGGAGGGCGAGGAGGAGGUGGAG